UACGUAGGGCGCAAGCGUUGUCCGGAAUUUAUUGGGCGUAAAGAGCUCGUAGGCGGUUUUGUCGCGUCUGCUGUGAAAACCUAAGGCUCAACCUUGGGCUUGCAGUGGGUACGGGCAGACUAGAGUGCGGUAGGGGUGACUGGAAUUCCUGGUGUAGCGGUGGAAUGCGCAGAUAUCAGGAGGAACACCGAUGGCGAAGGCAGGUCACUGGGCCGCAACUGACGCUGAGGAGCGAAAGCAUGGGGAGCGAACAGG
rnacentral:rRNA from 1 species